rnacentral:rRNA from 1 species
UACAGAGGUCUCAAGCGUUGUUCGGAUUCAUUGGGCGUAAAGGGUGCGUAGGCGGCGCGGUAAGUCGGGUGUGAAAUCUUGGAGCUUAACUCCGAACUGCAUUCGAUACUGCCGUGCUUGAGGACUGGAGAGGAGACUGGAAUUUACGGUGUAGCGGUGAAAUGCGUAGAUAUCGUAAGGAAGACCAGUGGCGAAGGCGGGUCUCUGGACAGUUCCUGACGCUGAGGCACGAAGGUCAGGGGAGCAAACGGG